UGACUCACCACCCACUUUAAAACUCCUAAAACCUCACCACCUGCUGAAACUGAAAGUCUGAAAGCCUGAAACCCCGAUUGUUGGUAGCCGUUAUUCCAACAGUUAACACAUUCCCGCCACUCAAAACCCUUCGCAAUUUGCAGAAAACCAGAGAUAAAGAGAUGUUGAAGGCCAAGAGUUUGAGCAAAGUAGCGGUGCCGCCUUCACUCAUACACAAUCCUUCUCCUGCUAACAUCCAAUCCACUCGCCUCGCUCUCCAUGUUAGCGAGGAUGGCUCUUCUUGUUGGCUCUACAUCGCCUCCGGUUGCCAAAUCUACAAGCUACAGGUUGCGUUGGAUGAUUCUCUGGUCAGUGAAGGGAAAGAUAGCCUUCUGAUCCCUGUACACAGGCAGGUUAUGAACUCAUUUAUGGUUAAUCGGUGCCCACAUCGUUCAGAAAUUCAGAGUAUGGUGCUUGCUGAAACUGAGAGCACUUGCAAUUCAAUGUUGGGAACUGUGGAUUCUUAUGGUCACCUUAUUGUAUCUAAACUGGACACUAAUGGUGAAGAUGUAGAGAGGCUUACUUAUUCAGUAUUGCCUCGUGAUUGCGGCAUUGGAGAGAGUGGGUGGGCAGGUCUUUGCUUCAAUCCAAUACAAUUGUCCACGGCAGCUGUUGCACGUAGCUUCUGCAAAACCAUUGAUGUUUAUGACCAGGAUAUCCACGUUAGGACAUUAUGUACACUCCUGUAUCCAACAUCACUGAGCUUCAUGCAAAGUUCGCGUUAUGGAAAUGAAAGUUCUAUAUUAGCUGUCACUGAAGGUUGCCAGCUGAGCAUAUGGGACUUGAGAAUGAAAGAAAAUGGCGGCUGUCUACAACGAAUAUGUGGUUCCCUUGGUGAUGUCUUCUACACUGUAUGCAGUUCCUCAACUGGAAAUAUUGCAGUCGGUGGAGCUGAUCGUACAGUGACAAUCUAUGAUCCUCGCAGAUGGGCAUCACUAUCAAGAUGGGUGAACUGCUCGAAAUAUGAGAUAACUGGACUUGCUUUCUCUUCAGUUGACUCCAACCAUAUCUAUAUACAAGGGGUUGAUUACGAGGUCUUCUGUGGAGACUGGAAAAGAAACAGCAAGGUAUUUUCCUUUAGAGGAGAUUCAAAUUGGCUUGGUUUUAGCAAGUGCCAGAACAGUGAUGUUGUCGGUGGAUGGUGUGACUCGGGUAGCAUCUUUGUGGCUAAUGUUGUAGCUGAAGAGGGUGAAACAACCAUGUAGAAAUGUUUCGCUGAUGAAUUUCCCUAGUGCUUGUUCAAGCAUCUCUCAUCAUAGCUGCUGGCUACUGGCAAAGGAACGUGUGGUGUUAUCCCUACUUUGAUGUCUUAAGAACUUGAUCUGGAAGUCAAGGGUCGAGAUAUCUGGCAGGGACGCAAGGUUAAUUGUUAUAGUAUGGCUAGUUGACCCUGCUGUUGUCUGGUUGGGGAGCUUCUGGGUAUGGUUGGUGUGGCCGUUUGGGUUAGUUAGGAGAGAGACCUGCCUAAAAAGCCAAUUCCAAAUUGAACGAUUUUAAAUGGGAUCUGCUAUUUUGUUUUCUCGAAGUUGUGGAUAAGUUUAAGAUGCCUAUCUUUGUAUUGUUUUCGAUUACAAAAUAAAAAAUAAGGCU